UACGUAGGUGGCAAGCGUUGUCCGGAAUUAUUGGGCGUAAAGCGCGCGCAGGCGGUUCCUUAAGUCUGAUGUGAAAGCCCACGGCUCAACCGUGGAGGGUCAUUGGAAACUGGGGAACUUGAGUGCAGAAGAGAAGAGCGGAAUUCCACGUGUAGCGGUGAAAUGCGUAGAGAUGUGGAGGAACACCAGUGGCGAAGGCGGCUGACUGGCCGAGACCUGACGCUGAGACGCGACGGCGUGGGGAGCAAACCGG
rnacentral:rRNA from 1 species